GGAGGAGAAUAUAUACACAAGUGUUUUUUUUGUGUUUAUAUCACAGUUUUUCAGCACAUAUAUUUUGUAUAUUUUUUUUUCACUUUUCUUUAGUUGUCUCUUCUGUUCCUUUUGAAAAAGAAUAGGUUGGAGCUAGGGUGUAAGUUUUUUGGUUUUGUUGUUUUGAAAAAAACAUGUUUCUAUUAUCAUGAUAAUUUUAGUACUAUGUCCCUUUAGAAUAACGGAAUAACUGCAGCAAUAAAACAAAAACAAUAAAUACAGUUUAAUUCAUUACAAAAUGGCAGGUGACAGGUCCACUUUAAGCUGAGCAGCAUGUCUAAUAAGACUUUUAUCCUUGAAUUUGUGUGUUCAGCAAUACACUAACAAGUUCUGACCAAAUCCUGUACUGUUUUAUAUAUUCAUUUUCCUCUUUUGACAAGAGAAUGAGGAAGAUCUUAAGUACUUGUGUCUAAGAGUGUACCUAAAUGUAGGUCCAGGCCUGUGUUGCAGAAGAUAAAAACUUUGUGUUAAAUAUGUACAGAUAACAUAUUAUGCUCAUUAUGUUUCCACCACAUAUAACCUUUGGUUUUCCACCAGAAUAUUAAUUUCCUUCCCACUACAUAAAAAAAACCACAAAAUGGUCUAGUCAGCCUUCUCCUACAGAGCUUAAGACAAUGUGGAAUAGCCUUCUAGAAAGGAGUGAAAUCUUCUUCCUCUGUGACUUCAGUCCUACAGCAUUUGUAGUUACAUUUAAUGUCUAAUUGCUUUCUACAUAAAUUAGAAUAAAUAUUUGACACUGUGUGGCACGAAGGGCAUAUUUGAAAUAUGGAAAAAUCAUUAACACCCCAAGCACCAUGAAAAACUACAGUACGCUGUAGUGAUUAGGGUGCGAGGAGUGCCCAGGCAUCCUACAUAUUGUAAGUAGUCAAGCUGUUUUAGAAUGGUUUGACUUCUUAUCUGCCGCUCCCUGCCUCUUCUCUAAAAAGAAGAUCUCAGCUUAGAGAUAGGUCUGGUCAUGCAGUUCAUUGGCUGCUGAGUAGCACUGAGCAUGGAGUAGCACUCAGCAGACCCAGUUUUGGAGUCCAACCAUUCUAAAAUGGUUUGGCUACUUUUAAUCAGUAUGUACCACGACACUCCUGUACAGUACAGUGGGCUGUAAUAAUUAUAGUGUUUGGAGAGUGGUUAAUGUAUU